CCUACGGGAGGCAGCAGUGGGGAAUAUUGGGCAAUGGACGCAAGUCUGAACCAGCAACGCCGCGUGAAGGAAGAAGGCUUUCGGGUUGUAAACUUCUUUUAAGGGGGAAGAAAAGAAGACGGUACCCCUUGAAUAAGCCACGGCUAACUACGUCCCAGCAGCCGCGGUAAUACGUAGGUCGCAAGCGUUGCGCGGAUUUACUGGGUGUAAAGGGCGUGUAGCCGGAGAGGCAAGUCAGAUGUGAAAUCCGCGGGCUCAACUCGAGAACUGCAUUUGAAACUGCUUCCCUUGAGUAUCGGAGAGGUAAUCGGAAUUCCUAGUGUAGCGGUGAAAUGCGUAGAUAUUAGGAAGAACACCAGUGGCGAAGGCGGAUUACUGGACGGCAACUGACGGUGAGGCGCGAAAGCGUGGGGAGCAAACAGGAUUAGAUACCCUAGUAGUC
rnacentral:rRNA from 1 species